UAUUGGACAAUGGGGGGAACCNUGAUCCAGCCAUGCCGCGUGGAGGAAGACUGCCCUCUGGGUUGUAAACUCCUUUUAUAUGGGAAGAACCGUCCUCAUUGAUGAGUGACCUGACGGUACCAUAGGAAUAAGCCCCGGCUAACUACGUGCCAGCAGCCGCGGUAAUACGUAGGGGGCAAGCGUUGUCCGGAUUUCCUGGGUGUAAAGGGCGCGCAGGCGGGAUAAAAAGUCAGUGGUGAAAUCCUACAGCUUAACUGUAGAACUGCCUUUGAUACUUUUAUUCGUGAGUUCGGGAGAGAGAGACGGAAUUCCAGGUGUAGUGGUGAAAUACGUAGAUAUCGGGAAGAACACCAGUGGCGGAGGCGGUCUCUUGGUCCGACACUGACGCUGAGGCGCGAGAGCGUGGGGAGCAAACA
rnacentral:rRNA from 1 species